rnacentral:tRNA from 1 species
GUUCCUGUAGCUCAGUUGGACAGAGCAACGGCCUUCUAAGCCGUAGGUCGUGGGUUCGAAUCCCGCCGGGAGUA